UAGCCGUAAACGAUACUCGCUAGGUGUCGGCCACGGUGCGACCGUUGUCGGUGCCGUAGGGAAGCCGUGAAGCGAGCCACCUGGGAAGUACGGCCGCAAGGCUGAAACUUAAAGGAAUUGGCGGGGGAGCACAACAACGGGUGGAGCUUGCGGUUUAAUUGGAUUCAACGCCGGAAAUCUUACCGGGACCGACAGCAACAUGAAGGCCAAGCUGAAGACUUGCCGGAUUAGCUGAGAGGUGGUGCAUGGCGUAGUCG
rnacentral:rRNA from 1 species